rnacentral:rRNA from 1 species
CAAUAGCGUAUAUUAAAGUUGUUGCAGUUAAAAGCUCGUAGUUGGAUUUCGGAGUGGGCCAGUUGGUCCGCCGCAAGGUGUGUUACUGACUGGUUUGCUCUUCUUCGCAAAGACUGCGUGUGCCCUUAAAUGAGUGUGCGUAGGAUUUACGACGUUUACUUUGAAAAAUUAGAGUGUUCAAAGCAGGCUAUUGCUUGAAUACAUGAGCAUGGAAUAAUAAUAUAGGACCUGAGUUCUAUUUUGUUGGUUUCUAGAGCUUAGGUAAUGAUUAAUAGGGACACUUGGGGGGCAUUCGUAUUAACGCGUCAGAGGUGAAAUUCUUGGAUUGCGUUACGGCGAACUACUGCGAAAGCAUUUGCCAAGGAUGUUUUCAUUGAUCAAGAACGAAAGUGUGGGGAUCGAAGAUGAUCAGAU